CCUACGGGUGGCUGCAGUGAGGAAUAUUGGUCAAUGGGCGUAAGCCUGAACCAGCCAAGUCGCGUGAGGGAUGACGGUUCUAUGGAUCGUAAACCUCUUUUAUAAAGGAAUAAAGUGAGGCACGUGUGCCUUUUUGUAUGUACUUUAUGAAUAAGGAUCGGCUAACUCCGUGCCAGCAGCCGCGGUAAUACGGAGGAUCCGAGCGUUAUCCGGAUUUAUUGGGUUUAAAGGGAGCGUAGAUGGGUGGUUAAGUCAGUUGUGAAAGUUUGCGGCUCAACCGUAAAAUUGCAAUUGAUACUGGCAGUCUUGAGUACAGUUGAGGUAGGCGGAAUUCGUGGUGUAGCGGUGAAAUGCUUAGAUAUCACGAAGAACUCCGAUUGCGAAGGCAGCUUACUAAGCUGCCACUGACAUUGAUGCUCGAAAGUGUGGGUAUCAAACAGGAUUAGAUACCCUUGUAGUC
rnacentral:rRNA from 1 species